CCUACGGGCGGCAGCAGUGAGGAAUAUUGGUCAAUGGGCGGAAGCCUGAACCAGCCAAGUAGCGUGCAGGAUGACGGCCCUACGGGUUGUAAACUGCUUUUCUACGGGAAUAACGCGCCUUACGUGUAGGUCUUUGCAUGUACCGUAUGUAUACAGACCGGCUAAUUCCGUGACAGCAGCCGCGGUAAUACGGAAGGUCCGUGCGUUAUCCGGAUUUAUUGGGUUUAAGGGGAGCGUAGGCCGCAUGUCAAGCGUGCUGUGAAAUGUCCGGGCUCAACCCGGGCCUUGCAGCGCGAACUGGCGGGCUGGAGUCCGGAGAAAGAAGGCGGAAUUCGUCGUGUAGCGGUGAAAUGCUUAGAUAUGACGAAGAACCCCGAUUGCGAAGGCAGCUUGCUGCAGCGGAACUGACGCUGAUGCUCGAAAGCGCGGGUAUCGAACAGGAUUAGAUACCCCUGUAGUC
rnacentral:rRNA from 1 species